GCGUGUGCUCUGGAAUUCAAUCCGCAAUUCAUUAAAACAAAGUAGGGGGAGGAAGGCGAGGGAGGAGAAUUUGGGAAAUAGCUUUCAGGAACCAUAAAUAAAUAAAUAAUGAAGGGGGAGAUGGAAAUGUUGACUUGCCAAGGUGACAGGGCUUCGUUUACUUGGUGCUUCUAGGGCUGCUAUCGCCCAAAAUGAAAGUUGCUCCUGUGAAAUGUAACAGCCCUUCAAAUCCCAAGCAUCACAUCCAGAAAGAAUGGAUGAAAAUGGAGACUGCAGAGAAAGGAGCUUUUCUGUUCAGUCUGUUCUCCACUGCUUUGAACACUGAUCCCAGGGUAAAGUGGAAGCAAAACCUCUGAGAAAGAGCUGACGGCCAUGGCCAAUAAGAAACAGGGCAUCAAGGACUGCAGAGCAGGAUGUCACCUGUGGUUUGACAAGUGCUACUCACGGCCAAUGUCAACAAAAUGUCUGAACUUCCAACUGCGACUUUGAAAAUCUCUGUCCAAAUGUUUGGUUGGAUGGUGCCUGAAGAGAAGGCCCAUUCAGUAAGGACAUUGUAGCAGAAAUGCGAAGUCACAGCUUGAAGCAGUGAUGGAGCACCUGGUGGGAAGGCAGGGCCAACCGAGGGGAGAUCAGGUGCAUGCAAUGUACCUGAGUGACCAGAGCGAGUGGAGCUGGGAUCCACCCCUUCCCAGACGUCAUUUAAGGGAUGGUGGUGGAGGCAAAGGCAUCUUGUUGGAGAUCCAUUCAUAGCUGAGGUGUUCUGAAGGCAUUUCUGCAUUCAUGCCAUGCAGCCCAACUUAGGCCAAUCCAGGCAGAAGAGAAUAGAGUGGAAGGUGGUUCAGAGGAGGUGAAGAACCCCCGUGCAGCUCAGACAGCAGAGCACUCACUCUGUGGUCCUCUUGGUGAGCUGUUGUAGAAUUUAAGGAGAUUUUCAGGAAAGCCUGACAAUCCCAGCCUGCCUGGAUGGUGAAACAUUUGAAAUCAAGGCUGCGUUUAACCUCCUAGCCUGGACUUUUUAGGAGGGCUUGAACAGCACGUCCUCUCCAGCAGGGAAGAGUCAUCUCUCUGAUCUCAGAUGCUUGUGUGGCUACAUGCAACUCUGAAGGUGGUGGGAAAAACGUUCCCAUCCAUCCCAGUUCAUCAGAGCAAUCCAACACAUGAUUACUUUCAAUCACAAACUUACACCUGGCUGAAGCUAAGCAGAAGCAAACAGUGAUGUGUGAGCAACCACAUAAACCCAGGCUUCGCAGGUGCUAUGGGCAUCAUGUCUGCUUUUCCUUUUCUUCCACUUUUUGCUCUCUACGAGGCUGUUACAGGAAGCAGCCCAUGGGUUUGUGACAGGACGCGGUUCAGGCGGACUCGUGUGGCUGAGAUGUGGGCAGGAGGGGAGCUCAGUGCCUCAGCUUAUCCUGGCUGGGCACCUCACCUGGGCUGGGAACCAGCUGCUGUCAUCCAGGGAGAUGCUGGGAGGCUCUGAGGGACGAUUCACCCUUCUGUCUGCAUGAGCAUGUCGGGGCAGAUGAGUCGGGUUGUGAGGAUGCUGCCUUUUUCCCAGGACAGUCGAGGAAGUCUAGACUGUGUGCUUGGGUUAGUCAGCGAACUUCUAGGCAGCCCUGGGAAGCAAACAGCAUUGCACCCCAAACACUUGUCAGGCCACGGAGGCAGCUGAGGUGAAACCACAUCUCACUCCCAACACUGCAGGAGCCCUUCUGGGCGAUGACUUAUUGUUGAGCUAUUUCCUGAGAUCCACAGUAGGAAGUGCCUGCUCCUGUUCCCCAGCUCUGCUCGCAGUGGCCUCCCACAUCAUCACAGAGGGCACUGGCAUGGAGCUGAAAGAGCAGAAGAACACAGCCAAGGCUUUGCCCCGCGUGCAGAACGCUGCGGAGCCAGGUUCCUGCUGAAGAUCGUAUUCAUUUUGGCGUUAAUCAGAAGGCAUUUGUAAUGUCCUGGCAACGAGGAGGAAGGCAAGACAUGGAGGAGGUGGAGGGGAGGGAAGGAAAUUCAUUUGUUGAGAUGAUGGAGUGACUCCUUCAAAGGAAAAAUUAAUAAUGAUUAAAACGAUGCCAGAGACUGUCCGUCAUCCCCACCAGAGGGGUCCAGCGCUCGGCACCUCUCCCUGCUGAUUACCAUCGAGCUUCCAAUUUUCAUAUAACCUUGAAACGCAAUCAUGUCAAUGUAUGCAAGAGGAUUCUCUUUUUCUGUUGGGCAGAGAGAUGUCAAUGGAUCUCUUUUCCUUCUUGCUUUCAUCCGUUACUUAGAAUCUGUGUAUAAGUCCCGUCCUUCAGCAUUUCCCUUUUAGAGGUCUGAAGGGAAGCUCUGCGCCCUCCCAGUGUGGUCUGUGGGCAGAGGUAAAUCUACUGAGCACGGCAAAGCAAAGACGAGGUUUCCCUUCCUUUUCUGUGAUGCCUGACUCAGUAUUUAGGAAGACAUUUUAUGGCACUCAAUUCCCAGGGCAGCAGCUGAUGACUUUAUUCUGCCUCCUCCUCCUCACUGCACCCAUGCUGCUCCUCCUGCAGCGCUUCCUUCGCUGGAGAUCCCGCUGUCUGGUUGUAUUGCAAUGCAGAUAAACCCUCUUUGUAUCAUUUCCAGGGGAGAGAAGCAGAACAGAAGACUCUUUUUGGAAAUCUGCUGCUUCUCUCUUGCACGCCGCCUUCCCCUGGCAGAGCACUGCACGCAGCAUCCUUGCAUUCCGGAUCUUGUCCCCAACAAGCUUUUGCUGACUGCAUAACCUUCACUAACCUGAAAUUCCUGAGUAGUCCCCAGAGCUCAAUGCAUCUUGGAAUAAAAUUUUGGUAAUGUCAUUUAAGGGUAUUCCUAAUCCAGAAUUAUUGAGGAGGCCUGGGUCAUGGGAAUUGAGUUUGACACUUGACAAAUUCUUGGCUUUGUGUAAAUGGACAGGCCGCAGAAAUAACUGCCUUUGGAUGUCACAUGAGGAGAAAUUAAUUCUUUAUUAACUUCCGCAAUGAUAAUCUAAUAAACUCAUUUGCUCUACUAGUUUCAGCACUUAAGGCGCUCAGUCGAUUGGAUGCAAAUAGAUUUUUUUCCUCCCCUCUGGAAAGGUGCCUCUGUAGCAGGAGAGGGGUGUUAGUGAACAGCCAGGCUGGGCGGCUGGGGCAGGGCGGGCAUGCUCAGCUCCUGCGCUGCACAGUGCUAGAGAGAUGGGCAGAGCAGAAA